GGCUGCAACCCGCCUACAUGAAGUUGGAAUUGCUAGUAAUCGCAGAUCAGAAUGCUGCGGUGAAUACGUUCCCGGGCCUUGUACACACCGCCCGUCACACCAUGGGAGCCGGUAAUACCCGAAGUCAGUAGUCUAACCGCAAGGGGGACGCUGCCGAAGGUAGGAUUGGCGACUGGGGUGAAGUCGUAACAAGGUAAC
rnacentral:rRNA from 1 species